GUCAUGUCAGCAGCACAGGUACCAAAAUUGGAACGAUACAGAGAAGUUCAGCACGGCUCCUGCACAGAACUUCGUGGAGAGUUCCAUAUUUUU